rnacentral:misc_RNA from 1 species
AAGUCGUAACAAGGUUUCCGUAGGUGAACCUGCGGAAGGAUCAUUAACACGUAUCCAACGUUAAACAACCCCGUGAACCUUCAGCCUGCUCUCGUAGCCCACGCGGCAACAGCAAUCCCGGUAAAUCGACGACAGUUACGAUCGAGCGGUAGAGUCAGUGGCAUGGCGUCCCCAAGCAGAAUCCAGAGAAUGAAAGGAUCACUGGCUGCGCAAGGAUAACGCCUCACGGUUGCUAGAGGUCGAUCACCGACCGGCAGACAUGUCACAGGGUCCCCAUGCCCCUUACCUCACCCCAUUACUAAUGACUAGCUUAGCGGUAACGCGCUGAGUAAAAAAAAACCGAACAACUGUUAACAAUGGAUAUCUUGGUUCUC